UCAGACGAUGCGUCACGCAUAUCAAUAAGCGGAGGAAAAGAAACUAACAAGGAUUCCCUCAGUAACGGCGAGUGAAGCGGGAAGAGCUCAAAUUUGAAAUCUUGAAAGGUCACCUUUCACGAAUUGUAGUUUAAAGAAGUGUUUUCUGUUACGAUCGUAAUAUAAGUUCUUUGGAAUAGGACAUCACAGAGGGUGAGAAUCCCGUCUAUGAUUGCGAUUUGUAGCUUUGUGAUACACUUUCAAAGAGUCGGGUUGUUUGGGAAUGCAGCCCAAGACGGGAGGUAAAUUUCUUCUAAGGCUAAAUAUUGGCGAGAGACCGAUAGCGAACAAGUACCGUGAGGGAGAGAUGAAAAGAACUUUGAAAAGAGAGUUAAAUAGUACGUGAAAUUGUCAAAAGGGAAGCGUUUAACACCAGUGUUGUUUUCUGAAAAUCAACCUCUGUUAGCUUUAUGCAUGUUUGUUUAGACCUAAUCAGCUAUCUUGCAUGUUCUAUUGUUUGCAGUGGUGCACUUUUCAGUUUACAGGUCAACAUCAGUUUUUUUUACCGUAAAAAAGUUAAAGAAAGGUAGCUCAUGGCUCCGGUCGUGAGUGUUAUAGUCUUUUUCCUAUGCGGUAGGAGAGACUGAGGUCUGCAGUGUAGGCUAUUUGGCUAGAUACUCAGGUGCUAUGUGAUACCAUUUCAUAAACAACUUGUUGAUCAUGUUUUGUCUAUUGCAUACUCGCUUGUACUAUCAUACCUACGCUUAGGAUGUUGAAGACUCUACAGAGAUA
rnacentral:rRNA from 1 species